GCUACAUCAAUGGCUGGUUCCGUUGUCACAAGGGCUCACGUGGUUGCUGCUGAGUUUACUUUCCAUUUACAAGAAGCAGUAUACUUCUUCACCAGGGAAGCUGUGUGUUUUUCUUGCAAGCUUACUAGCAGCAUUUCUUUGUAUUUCAUCCGUAUGGCAAGUAAUCAUAGAGAAUGUAGUGUACACAAAAUCAGUCUUGGACAUGCUACCACUACUAGGAGUGGUUUUAGUGACCGUUUCUGCAUCCAAAGGCCAACGGGAUAUAAG
rnacentral:misc_RNA from 1 species